CCUACGGGAGGCAGCAGUGAGGAAUAUUGGUCAAUGGACGAGAGUCUGAACCAGCCAAGUAGCGUGAAGGAUGACUGCCCUAUGGGUUGUAAACUUCUUUUAUAUGGGAAUAAAAUGUUCCACGUGUGGGAUUUUGUAUGUACCAUAUGAAUAAGGAUCGGCUAACUCCGUGCCAGCAGCCGCGGUAAUACGGAGGAUCCGAGCGUUAUCCGGAUUUAUUGGGUUUAAAGGGUGCGUAGGCGGAAUGCCAAGUCAGCGGUAAAAUCGCGGGGCUCAACCUCGCUCCGCCGUUGAAACUGGCGUUCUUGAGUGGGCGAGAAGUAUGCGGAAUGCGUGGUGUAGCGGUGAAAUGCAUAGAUAUCACGAAGAACUCCGAUUGCGAAGGCAGUUCACUGGACUGCAACUGACACUGAGGCUCGAAAGUGUGGGUAUCAAACAGGAUUAGAUACCCGUGUAGUC
rnacentral:rRNA from 1 species